UGUUUUUUGUUUUGUUUUUUUUUUUAUUUUAUUUGUAUACUCAACCAAGCUUUUGUUAACCUUAUCUAUGUAAGGGGAGAGAGGGGGAAGGGGGGAAGGUAAAGAAGAGAGACACAACAACAAG
rnacentral:ribozyme from 1 species